rnacentral:tRNA from 1 species
GGGUGUUUGGUCUAGUGGUAUGAUUCUUGCUUUGGGUGCAAGAGGUCGUUAGUUCGCUUUUUGCAACACCCU